AUUGAACGCUGGCGGCAGGCCUAACACAUGCAAGUCGAGCGGAUGAAGGGAGCUUGCUCCUGGAUUCAGCGGCGGACGGGUGAGUAAUGCCUAGGAAUCUGCCUGGUAGUGGGGGAUAACGUCCGGAAACGGGCGCUAAUACCGCAUACGUCCUGAGGGAGAAAGUGGGGGAUCUUCGGACCUCACGCUAUCAGAUGAGCCUAGGUCGGAUUAGCUAGUUGGUGGGGUAAAGGCCUACCAAGGCGACGAUCCGUAACUGGUCUGAGAGGAUGAUCAGUCACACUGGAACUGAGACACGGUCCAGACUCCUACGGGAGGCAGCGGUGGGGAAUAUUGGACAAUGGGCGAAAGCCUGAUCCAGCCAUGCCGCGUGUGUGAAGAAGGUCUUCGGAUUGUAAAGCACUUUAAGUUGGGAGGAAGGGCAUUAAGUUAAUACCUUGCUGUUUUGACGUUACCAACAGAAUAAGCACCGGCUAACUUCGUG
rnacentral:rRNA from 1 species